rnacentral:rRNA from 1 species
AGUGAACGCUGGCGGUAGGCCUAACACAUGCAAGUCGAACGGCAGCACAGUAAGAGCUUGCUCUUACGGGUGGCGAGUGGCGGACGGGUGAGGAAUACAUAGGAAUCUACUUUUUCGUGGGGGAUAACGUAGGGACACUUACGCUAAUACCGCAUACGACCUACGGGUGAAAGCAGGGGAUCUUCGGACCUUGCGCGAUUGAAUGAGCCGAUGUCGGAUUAGCUAGUUGGCGGGGUAAAGGCCCACCAAGGCGACGAUCCGUAGCUGGUCUGAGAGGAUGAUCGGCCACACUGGAACUGAGACACGGUCCAGACUCCUACGGGAGGCAGCAGUGGGGAAUAUUGGACAAUGGGCGCAAGCCUGAUCCAGCCAUACCGCGUGGGUGAAGAAGGCCUUCGGGUUGUAAAGCCCUUUUGUUGGGAAAGAAAAGCAGCAGGUUAAUACCCCGCUGUUCUGACGGUACCCAAAGAAUAAGCACCGGCUAACUUCGUG